ncrna:unclassified sequences Glutamine-II riboswitch (downstream peptide RNA)
CAACGUUCACUUCAUCCUUGGGUGAAGCGCAGUACGACUCAGGCCAUGGAACGGGGACCUGAG